GCUUAACACAUGCAAGUCAACGGGAGAUAAGGAGCUUGCUCCAUAUCGUCUAGUGGCGGACGGGUGAGUAACGCGUGAGCAACCUGGCCAUAAGAGGGGGACAACAGCUGGAAACGGCUGCUAAUACCGCAUAAGACCACGCUUCCGCAUGGAAGAGAGGUCAAAGAUUUAUCGCUUAUGGAUGGGCUCGCGUCCCAUUAGAUAGUUGGUAGGGUAACGGCCUACCAAGUCGACGAUGGGUAGCCGACCUGAGAGGGUGAUCGGCCACACUGGAACUGAGACACGGUCCAGACUCCUACGGGAGGCAGCAGUGGGGAAUAUUGGGCAAAAUGGGGGGAACCCUGACCCAGCAACGCCGCGUGAGGGAAGAAGGUUUUCGGAUUGUAAACCUCUGUCCUUGGGGAAGAAGGAAGUGACGGUACCCAGGGAGGAAGCUCCGGCUAACUACGUGCCAGCAGCGGC
rnacentral:rRNA from 1 species